UACAGAGGUCUCAAGCGUUGUUCGGAAUUACUGGGCGUAAAGGGUGCGGAGGCCGCGCGGGCAGUCAAAUGUGUAAUUCAGGGGCUCAACCCCUGCACUGCGCUUGAUACUUCCGCGCUCGAGCUUUGGAGAGGAGUCUGGAAUUCUCGGUGUAGCAGUGAAAUGCGUGGAUAUCGAGAAGAACACUUAGGGCGUAGGCAAGACUCUGGACAAAUGCUGACGCUCAUGCACGAAGGCUAGGGUAGCGAACGGG
rnacentral:rRNA from 1 species